rnacentral:rRNA from 1 species
AACGAACGCUGGCGGCAUGCCUAACACAUGCAAGUCGAACGAGACCUUCGGGUUUAGUGGCGCACGGGUGCGUAACGCGGGGGAACCUGCCCUUAGGUUUGGAAUAACUCCCCGAAAGGGGUGCUAAUACCGGAUAAUGUCUUCGGACCAAAGGUUUAUCGCCUUUGGAUGGGCCUGCGUUGGAUUAGCUAGUUGGUAGGGUAAAAGCCUAUCAAGGCGACGUUCGAUAGCUGGUCUGAGAGGAAGAGCAGCCACACUGGGACGGAGACACGGUCCAGACUCCUACGCGAGGCAGCAGUGGGGAAUAUUGGAAAAUGGGCGAAAGCCUGAACCAGCUAUGCCGGGUGAGUGAUGAAGGUCUUAGGGUAGUAAAGCUCUUUUACCCGGGAUGGUAAUGACAGUACCGGGAGAAUAAGCUCCGGCUAACUCCGUG